UGCAGUCGAGCGGACAGAUGGGAGCUUGCUCCCUGAUGUUAGCGGCGGACGGGUGAGUAACACGUGGGUAACCUGCCUGUAAGACUGGGAUAACUCCGGGAAACCGGGGCUAAUACCGGAUGCUUGUUUGAACCGCAUGGUUCAAACAUAAAAGGUGGCUUCGGCUACCACUUACAGAUGGACCCGCGGCGCAUUAGCUAGUUGGUGAGGUAAUGGCUCACCAAGGCGACGAUGCGUAGCCGACCUGAGAGGGUGAUCGGCCACACUGGGACUGAGACACGGCCCAGACUCCUACGGGAGGCAGCAGUAGGGAAUCUUCCGCAAUGGACGAAAGUCUGACGGAGCAACGCCGCGUGAGUGAUGAAGGUUUUCGGAUCGUAAAGCUCUGUUGUUAGGGAAGAACAAGUACCGUUCGAAUAGGGCGGUACCUUGACGGUACCUAACCAGAAAGCCACGGCUAACUACGUGCCAGCAGCCGCGGUAAUACGUAGGUGGCAAGCGUUGUCCGGAAUUAUUGGGCGUAAAGGGCUCGCAGGCGGUUUCUUAAGUCUGAUGUGAAAGCCCCCGGCUCAACCGGGGAGGGUCAUUGGAAACUGGGGAACUUGAGUGCAAAAGAGGAGAGUGGAAUUCCACGUGUAACGGUGAAAUGCCUAAAGAUUUGGAAG
rnacentral:rRNA from 1 species